rnacentral:rRNA from 1 species
UACGUAGGGGGCAAGCGUUGUCCGGAUUUAUUGGGCGUAAAGAGCGUGUAGGCGGUUUGGUAGGUCCGCUGUGAAAACUCGAGGCUCAACCUCGAGACGCCGGUGGAAACCAUCAGACUAGAGUCCGGAAGAGGAGAGUGGAAUUCCUGGUGUAGCGGUGAAAUGCGCAGAUAUCGGGAAGAACACCCGUGGCUAAGGCGGCUCUCUAGUACGGUACUGACGCUGAGACGCGAAAGCGUGGGGAGCGAACAGG